CAACGUACAUGCUUCUUAAAAACUUAUUUAUGUAGGAAUUUAGAUCCGGGAUUAAAGAAACCAAGGAACAACACACUCUUGUUCUCUCAUCGUGUUCUUAACAUCUUGUCCUCUCCACUCUGCAAGUAAUUUCGUAGGAAAAACAUCUCCAAACCACAAUCAGAUACAAACGCAAGCAGACUGACCGAAUGGGUUCCGCUUCAUCCAAAGAUGGGAAAGAAAUUCGGAAUUGUUGGGAUGGGAAGAUAUACUUUGAUCCAGGUCCUCACCUUUCGAAUUGGAACAGAUAUUUUAUUACCGAGGAGGAGUUGAAAACUGUCAGCAGGAAGUAUGUCAAGGACGACGAUGUCAUUGAAACAAUUUGGCAUUUCAAGUGUGAUCUCUUAGAAUGGCAAAUCACACACGUGCUGACCUACCAUGCGUACAUAAUCCUGCAGACUGGCAAUUACUAUUGGUCGAUAGAACGGAAUAAGCAAGGCGUCACAAUUCAAAGGAGUACAAAAAUGUCGUUUAUUAAGGACAAAUAUCGACGUCUCGACCGAAGGGGAGUGGGGUUGAUAUGCAAAACACCAGGCAAAGGGAGCAUGAAGGAGUUGAUCAAGUGGCUCUAUUAUUCGGAUGAACUCGUGAAAGAGUAUCACUUCGUGUACGCCAAUUGUCACGUCUUUGCGGAAAAGUUGUUUGAACGCUUUUCGAUAUGAAUUCAAAAUGUGUGAAGAGUAAGGUACCCUUAAUCAUGUAAUUAAUUAGUUUCAUUGAAUUUAUACUUAUUUCUAUUGUAAAUUAGCUUGCUAAAUUAAGCUAAUAAAGGUUAAAUGCAAUAUUA